AUGGUCAGCCCGAUCUACAAAAGUGGCGGGUUUGGAUUUGCUUUCCCGGUGGGAUCUCCGCUGGUGGCGGACGUGUUGCGCGCCAUCCUGGAGAUGCAAGAGGACGGCAUGCUUACACGCAUCGAGAACAAGUGGUUCAGCCACCCCGGAGCGUGCGUGAGGAUGAGCAAGGACGUCGACAACACUAGGCUCGAGCUAUGGAGAUUCCGUGGACUGUUCCUCGUCAACGCAGCCGUCUCGUGCCUCAUGCUCCUCAUCCACCUCGCCACCUUCGUCUCCUGGAAGCGCGUAUGCCGAUGGCUGCGCUUGGACGCCUUCGAAGGUCGGCGAGGCGAGCCCAUGGGCAACGGCCAGGGAACGGUGGAGCUGAGUCGCCUGCAGGGUCUGGCCACCGGAGCCGAAGAUCAGCAGCAAGGAGCCAUGGGGGACUCUCACUCUACUCCCGCGGAUGGCACCGAUUCCGAGAGAAACGCAGCUUCUGCCCCUGUGCCAGAGGAACCCGAUGGGGUUACCUCUACAGCGCAGUCCUCCCAUGAACCUGCGCCAGCAUUGGCGUCCAUGUAG
rnacentral:rRNA from 1 species